UACAGAGGUCUCAAGCGUUGUUCGGAUUCACUGGGCGUAAAGGGUGCGUAGGUGGUUGGGUAAGUCUGAUGUGAAAAUCUCCCGGGCUCAACCCCGGAAAUGGCAUUGGAUACUAUUCGGCUAGAGGUUUGGAGGGGGACUGGAAUUCUCGGUGUAGCAGUGAAAUGCGUAGAUAUCGAGAGGAACACCAGUGGCGAAGGCGAGUCCCUGGACAACACCUGACACUGAGGCACGAAAGCUAGGGGAGCAAACAGG
rnacentral:rRNA from 1 species